rnacentral:rRNA from 1 species
UACAGAGGGUGCAAGCGUUGUUCGGAAUUAUUGGGCGUAAAGCGCGUGUAGGCGGCUUUGCAAGUCGGGUGUGAAAGCCCUCGGCUCAACCGAGGAAGUGCGCCCGAAACUGCAGAGCUUGAGUACCGGAGAGGAUGGCGGAAUUCCCCAAGUAGAGGUGAAAUUCGUAGAUAUGGGGAGGAACACCGGUGGCGAAGGUGGCCAUCUGGACGGAUACUGACGCUGAGACGCGAAAGCGUGGGGAGCAAACGGG